AUGGAUGGAAUGGAUGUACUCAGCAGCUGUUGUGGUGAUAGAUGGGCGCAUGGACGCCCAUCUCAAGCACCUUGCUCUGAAGAGACGCCUUUUAUGGCUGCUGCCUGUCAUGGGCUGCACCAUGGCAAAUGGUGCAGCCGCCCAAGCUUGAUGAAGAUUGUUGAGGGCACUGAUGGAUGGGCGCCUGAAGAGGCGCCCUUUAUUGCUGCUGCCUGUCAUGGGCUGCACCAUGGCAAAUGGUGCAGCUGCCCAAGCUUGAUGAAGAUUGUUGAGGGCACUGAUGGAUGGGCGCCUGAAGAGGCGCCCUUUAUGGCUGCUGCCUGUCAUGGGCUGCACCAUGGCAAAUGGUGCAGCUGCCCAAGCUUGAUGAAGAUUGUUGAGGGCACUGAUGGAUGGGCGCAUGGGCACCCAUCUCAAACACCUUGCUCUUCUGAAGAGGCGUCCUUUAUGGCUGCUGCCUGUCAUGGGCUGCACCAUGGCAAAUGGUGCGGCGGCCCAAGCUUGAUGAAGAUUGUUGAGGGCAGUGAUGGAUGGGCGCAUGGACACCCAUCUCAACCACCUUGCUCUGGAAAGGCACCCUUUGCUGCUGCCUGUCAUGGGCUGGGCCAUGGCAAAAGGUGCGGCAGCCUAGGACCCAUCCAUAUUAUUGAGUGGCACGUCCCCAUUGGACCUUGA
rnacentral:rRNA from 1 species